UACAGAGAUCUCAACCGUUGUUCGGAAUCACUGGGCUUAAAGGGUGUGUAGGCGGCGCACUAAGUUGAUUGUGAAAUCCUCUGGCUUACCCAGAGAAGAGCAGUCAAAACUGGAGUGCUAGAGUAUGGUAGGGGGGAGUGGACCUUCUGGUGGAGCGGUGAAAUGCGUUGGUAUCAGAAGGAACGCCGGAGGCGAAAGCGACUCUCUGGGCCAUAACUGACGCUGAGGCACGAACGCCAGGGGAGCAAACGGGAUUAGAUACCCCGGUAGUCCUGGCCCUAAACUAUGAGUACUAGGUAGGGGGAGUUAUCUCUCUGCUGCCGCAAAAGCAUUAAGUACUCCGCCUGGGGAGUAUGGUCGCAAGGCUGAA
rnacentral:rRNA from 1 species